UACGAAGGGGGGCUAGCGUUGCUCGGAAUCACUGGGCGUAAAGCGCACGUAGGCGGGUCUCUAAGUCAGGGGUGAAAUCCUGGAGCUCAACUCCAGAACUGCCUUUGAUACUGGGGAUCUCGAGUCCGGGAGAGGUGAGUGGAACUCCGAGUGUAGAGGUGAAAUUCGUAGAUAUUCGGAAGAACACCAGUGGCGAAGGCGGCUCACUGGCCCGGUACUGACGCUGAGGUGCGAAAGCGUGGGGAGCAAACAGG
rnacentral:rRNA from 1 species